rnacentral:lncRNA from 10 species
AUCCAGGUGAAUUCAAAGUAAGUCUUGAGAGUCACCCUGUGUUUUGAUAUGAAAAGAAAUACAGGGAAAACGUAGAGAGGAAAUAAAAGGAAGCCAUGUAUGAGGGCUUGAGAUUUUGUUGUCUGUUUUAUCCCAGGAGGAAGACUAAGUGCUCUGCCUUAACUCAGGCCAGGCUGUGGGCGCAAGUGCACCAACGGCUUUGAGACUAACACACAGCUCAGAACAAGGAAAUAUAUAUUGAGCACCUUCAACAUAACAAAUUGGCUGGGCACUGAUGAAGCAGAGCUCCACAUGCAACAUAAAAUAGAAAUUU